CUGAGAAAGGGGCAAAGUUCAUUUUCUAAUUGAGUGCUUUGAAAUAUAUAUGUGUAUAUGGUCAAUGUUUAUCUUUCAGAACAAAGAUCACUUUGUUUUUCACAUGUUUGUAUGUUAGUGCUGAGAAUUGUAUGAAGGAGUCUUAACUGUGAGAGGUUUCCCCGAAAUCUCUGGCACGGCUCGUGAGGCUAAAUGCUAGCUACCAGUUUGAUGGAGGAAUCAGUGAGAACUUAAACAUGUAGUGCGUUUUCCCCGCCCUGGUAAAUGUACAUGUCUGGUUCACAUAAUUGUCGCCAAAAAAAAAAAAAAAAAAAAAAAAAGAUGCAGUUAUAUUUGUAAUAAUUAUUUUAUACAAAGUCCUAAGCUUAAUUAUUCCUCUGUCCAUAUCUUGUGCUGUGUAGAAUUUGCAUAACAAUCGAGACAUCAAAGCUCGAGCAGUUUGGUAAGGAAAGGUCUUCCUACUGUAUUUUUUGUUGCCAGAUAAAUUAGAAUGAUCAAUUUAAUCUAAAUUUAUUCUUUAGAAAUUUUUUUUCAGCAAAUCAGUUGAAAUGGGAAUUAAAAGCAAACUUUAAAGCUAGUAGUAAGAAUUUGGCACAAUAAGGUGUUUAAAGUGGAUUGCUUUCCGUUUGAUGUUUCGUACUCCUUUCUCCAGCCCCCUCUCCCCUCAUUUCCUCCCUUCCCCCCCCCCAUUUUCCCUGUCUUACUAUUUUGGAAAUCCAAGUUAUGCUUUUGCUGUCACUGAAGUGAAUGGGAAUUCUGCCACUGAUGGUGCUGGGAAGAGAACGCAACAUUUCCAUCUGUGAGUGAACUAAUGACACCUACUUAAAGGCAGUAUGGUGAAGAUUAAUUAAUUGACAUUACUGAGGUAUCCUGAGGUGGAAGUCCUGAUAAACAAAAGGUUCCAAUUCCAAACCCCAAAUUGCAGAGGCCAGUUCUCAGCUGAUAGUGGUUUACGUUGUAUGUCUUUUAUCAGUUCCCUGACAAUGGAGCUGGUAAUUACAGUGAUCGCCCAACUAUCUUUUCAGAUUGAGUGAUCCGCACUGAUAUAAUCCUUCUUUCCCUAAAUCAGCGGCAGCAACAUCUGGAUCAUCUGGAAUUUGUGAGGAAGGGAAGAGGAGCCUUUGCUCAGCUUGUAGAAGCUUGGAAACUGUUUCCUGGGAAUUACCUCCGCCUGCUGUCGCCCAGCCACUGCAGGACUUUGAGUUUACAGACAAGCUGCAGUAGAUGAACUGUGAAGAGAGACGGUGAGGAUUUGAUCUGAUGCACUGAAGCAUACGGGAUUUUAAAAGACCUGGUGAAUCCUGAUCUACCUGACUCGACAUGAUUUGUUACUGACCUCAGUGAAGCCAGGAUUUUACUGUGAUGUAUGUUUGCUGCCUGGAAGAGAAUUUGAUUAGACUCCAGGAAUUUCCUUACAUUUUGAGGAGAAUGGAUGUGAGGCAGCACUGGGGCAUGGCAAAGUUAAUUCUGCAAAAGAAAACUGCAGAUGUCUCCAGCACAACAAGCUAGAGAAGAAUGAACUUGCCUGAAGUGGGCCUGGUUCAUGAAAGGGACUUGUUUGACUGCAGUUGGCCGCUCACUUCAAAUCUGCUAAGCGCAGCUAGUGCUUUGGAAGCAGUACCGGCCAUACUAAAGAUGGGUGGAGAUGGCCAAGGAGAUCCCCAGUUGCUGUCUGCUAAUUGAGGUGUCGUUACCACCGCGCGUUGUUCCUGUCCCGCAUCCCUCUGCAAGGGGCAAUUUGGAACAACUAGAGGAGCUAGAAAUACUGAUACAAGAUUCAAAAACAUCCUGCAUGACACCACUGUGAUUUUUCUGUACAGCGUCUCCGUUCAGUGCUCUAUUAGUCCGGAUGUGACCGAGGGAUGGAGCUGCGCUGAUCAGACCCUGCUGCACCACAGGCUGGGGAAUCCCACGCAGAAAGCCGUUAUCCUGGAGUUACUCCUGAUGCGCUUUCCACAUUGUUCAUGCUUCAUUACUGAUAGGAGUAAUUCUGAACAGGUGGCUUCAUGAUCUUCUGUUACUUUAGCUAUGGUCAAACUGUUCCAUAUGUGGAUUUGUUAAAAGAGAUUUAACACAAGUUAAAAAAAAAAAAGAAAAAAAGAAAGGAGCGACUGCAAGAGAAGUUUCUCCUAAUGGUUCCUCCUGAAAAGGAUUACCCAGCUUCCUGUUUGUCACAGGACUGCUGUUGUUCAAAGCAGUAAAGGGGAAAUUAUUGCAGAGAAGGCAACAGUCUGGAGGCAUAAGGCCUUUUGUUUUUUCUUGGUUCACUGUAAGUUGGGGAGGCCUCUUGAUGACUGCUUUCUCUUGCUUUUGUCUCCCACAUGUCACAGGAAACAAUUUCAGAGCAAGGAAUUGGUAAGCUAGGACUUGGACAAGUGUUUUCAUAGUACAGUUUACCUAGUACGUGGUACUGGCUUGCAAAAGGGACUUAAAAGAAUCAUAAUGUUGCAGAUUCAUUUGGCUUCCUUGUUGAUCAGACCUGUGUGGGACCACCUUUCUCACCCAGAAAAGCAUGGUGACUACUGAUUGCCAUGGCGUAGACCUACAGGAGACAGCUUCCUCCACCCUUCCGCUGAAUGCGGCCUUGCUCCAGUGGAGCUAUUCUUGCUGGUUCUGGGAGUCUUCUUGACAUCAGUAAAGGCUGCAGAAUUUACCUCUGAAAGAAAACUUGCUGACCUAAACUGAUCACAGGAAAUAGUAGAUUAUCCUAGGUGAAAGAGGAUUAAUCAGCCAUUCCAGACGAGGAUGAAUUCCAUAAGAACAAUUUACAUGUGGCUAUUAAUCUAUGGAUGAGCUUUCAGACUGUUGUUUAAACCUCAUUAUUGACACUCUUUGAAGUGAAAGGAAGUCACCCAUGUAGGAGAUCAGAAUCAGUUCUGUUUUCUGUUUCUUUGUUAAAAAUGCUGCUUUCUCUUUGCCCUUCCAGAGAAUGCGUGUCCCUUCUCCUUGCAGAGUGAAUCAGCACUGGCAUUUGUGCAAAAAUGGUUACCCUGGUGUCCCUGAUGCAGCUUUUUGACCUUGCUGCCCACAUUGCUCUCUGGAAACCACCUUUCUUCCCUAACCCCUUCGUUACCUGAAUGGUGCGAGGAAAGAGCCUGACCUUGUCAUACCCUCGCUGUGCCGAACUUGGUUAUUGGCUGAACGAUCCUCCGUACAGUUUAGCUUUUGCCAUUUCUUUUUUGUUCUUCCCAGAUAAGCCAGCUGACCUGGGAGACAAUAUGGCCAUAGUUAAAUUUAAACUGUACAUAACCACAUGAAAAAGCAAAAGUGAAAACCCGAUAAAAGGUUGGUUCCUGGACAAAGCACUCAAUUGAGUUAUGGCAGAUCAGCUUUCAGUUCUGAGGUCUGGUAGAAACAUCAUUCGUGAUUUCAUGCAGGUCACAGCUUCUCCACGUCUCCCUUUCUCGUUAGGCCAACUGCGGAUGACAAUAGUGCUUCUGCUUCAUCCGGUGACUGUCCUUCACCCUGUGACCGUCCUUUCUAUUAUCUGUCCUCGGGAGCUGGGCUUCCAUUUGUUCAUGAGUUACCAGUAUGACAGAGAGAUGAUCUUGCUGGAGGCCUCUGUGGUCUUUAGUGACAAUAAUACAGACUAUCAGUUAACUGAGACAGAAACAAAUAUUUGAAAAAGAUACCCAUCAGGUUUCUCUUGCCAUUGGAUUUUGUUAUAGUAUUUUUUUGUUUGAUUUACUUUACACCUCUAGGAAUGUUUGUUUAGCUUAUUUAUGGAAUAAUGGUUUUCUUAGAAAAUCAGGACUUGGAUCUGAGUAGUCAGAUGGAUAAUACCUUCAUUAUUGUUGCAUCUCAUGUAAUAAUGUGUAGCCUUGACAAAUACCUACUUCAGACAUUAAAUAUAUUAAAAUUC